rnacentral:rRNA from 1 species
UACGAAGGGGGCUAGCGUUGCUCGGAAUUACUGGGCGUAAAGCGCACGUAGGCGGAUUGUUAAGUCGGUGGUGAAAUCCUGGAGCUCAACUCCAGAACUGCCUUCGAUACUGGGAAGCUCGAGUCCGGGAGAGGUGAGUGGAACUGCGAGUGUAGAGGUGAAAUUCGUAGAUAUUCGCAAGAACACCAGUGGCGAAGGCGGCUCACUGGCCCGGUACUGACGCUGAGGUGCGAAAGCGUGGGGAGCAAACAGG